UACAUCUUCAGGAGCCAGAGAGCA
rnacentral:piRNA from 1 species